GGUACCGGUUGUGGUGCUGUGAGCCCAUCAGGAAGGCUCGGGGCAUCCUGUAGCCCUGGGAGACCUCGACCCAUGCCCUGCCCUCGGGUCUGAGCUGAGGCUGUGGUUCACAGGCAACAGGUGAUCUCCAUGUAGGCACCAAGGGAGGCAGGAUGGCACGAUGCAUAGGAUGUGUGUGCUGGGAUCAGACUGUCUGGAUUUGAGCUACAGCUCUGGCCCUCGGGUCAUUGAUUCAACCAUCUGUGAUGUCCACACUGCCGGUCCAAGGACCAUACUUCGAGUAGCAAGAAGAAAGAGUAGCGUGCGCAUCAGACAGAUCCAGGCUUGAAACCCAGACCUGCCACCUCAUCACCCACUUGACAAGGAAAAUGGAGCCAGAGAGACUGACCUCAGAGGUCACUCAGCCGGUCAGUAGCUGGGCGAGCUUCUCACCAGGCUCACCCCCCGCUGUGGGCCAGCAGAGCGGUUCCCCGAGCAUCAUUGAUCUUUUGACUAAAGUGUUCUAAUGAAAUACAAAUCUGCUGUUACUCGGAGAGCCGUCCACCAUGGCGGCACAGGAGAAAUGCUACCAGGAGAACAAUAACCAUCAUUUCAUUGUAAAACUGCCCUCUUGCACUGUGGCCCCCACCCUCCUUGAUAGCGAGCUCACAGCUCGGUUCUGGAAAAUCGAUGCCUUUUACUGUUUCAGCUGUGUCACCGAGCAAUGGGGGGCACGGCCAUCAAUAGGGUGUUAAAGAUACUUCCACUUCUGUGCAAACUCCCUGUAGUGAGGGCCCUUGGCUUCUUGCAGUGAGUUAGCAUCUGUCAGGAGGCGGGUUAUUGGGAGGGUGAUUCAGGGCUUUUGUCCUGGGGUACUCAGUCCGAUGUAAUCCACUAAGAAGGUGGCAGGGGAAGGCCCGGGACCCCAGAAGUGAAAACACUGUCCUUAACAGCAGCAUUUUUACUGCACCCACCAUGGGAACUGAGUUUGCAGCGAGUGGUGGGCUGACCUCCAUCCAAAGCCCCAGCCAGGGAUACCCAGGGCGGUGUCCCUGUUGGAUCUACUCUGUCCCAGCGGGUGCUGGGUUCUGAAAGGGGCACCGCCCUGUCCCUCAGGAUGGUAUAACCCAGUUGGAUGUCUUCAGUUGCCCCUGAAGGAGGGUGGUGAGAUUCUAAUCAGCAGUGGCAGUUUCUAGGCUCUGGGGCCCCCUGCUGACCCCAGGACUCUCCAUCCAGGCGACUGGAGCUCUGUGUGCGGGAGACUGGUCUUCCUCAGCCUGCAUCUUGUGUGCCAAGACUCUAGACCGCCAGAGAGGGCCUUAAAUGUAAUUUACUCAACGGUUUUAUAUGUAUUUUUAUAUUACCGUUAAGGCUCACCUCCCUUUUUCUCAAAUAGGACCUGACAUGGAGCCCUCAGAGCUCAAACUCAUAGCAGCAGAGCUUCCGGGUUGAAGUGGGGAGGGACCAACUUGGCCUUGCCCUUCCCC